rnacentral:rRNA from 1 species
AUUCCAGCUCCAGUAGCGUAUAUUAAAGUUGUUGCAGUUAAAAAGCUCGUAGUUGGAUUUCUGGUACGCUGCGCCUGAGCCGCCUGCUUUAAGCAUGGUGUGUCUCGGAGCGCGGUUGCCAUCCUUCUAGAAAACGUUUCUAUCCUUCGCUGGACCGGAUUCGCAAUCUAGAUCUUUUACUUUGAAAAAAUUAGAGUGUUUAAAGCAGGCUUAUGCUAUGAAUACAUUAGCAUGGAAUAAUAAUAUAGGACUUUGGUUCUAUUUUGUUGGUUUCUAGAACUAAAGUAAUGAUUGAUAGGGAUAGUUGGGGGUGCUAGUAUUCAGCGGCCAGAGGUGAAAUUCUUGGAUUCGCUGAAGACUAACUUAUGCGAAAGCAUUCACCAAGGAUGUCUUCAUUA